CCUGGAGAGAACUCGGGGAGAACAUGCAAACUCCACACAUAAAGGUGCGGCAGCCGAGACGAAGUAACGGGUUAGCAACCGUGGGAGCAGUAGUGAACGGAGCCGCCAUACUGCAGCAGCCAGUGUCCGCCAACGCGAUUUCGCUCAGGCCUGGGCGCCCGUGGAACCGCUGACGGGAGGACUGAGGAACCGACUGAGUGACUGUUGCCCCGCAACCGAGAGCUGACGAAUGACUUAUUCCCUUUUUAUAUAGCUCUUUUUAACCUGUGUCAGCACACUGAUUUUAGUUAGGCCUUUUUUAAACUUUUUUUUUUAUUGUAUAAAUAAAUUGUUAAAUUUA